CAAUAGCGUAUAUUAAAGUUGUUGCGGUUAAAAAGCUCGUAGUUGGAUUUCUGCCGAGGACGACCGGUCCGCCCUCUGGGUGAGUAUCUGGUUCGGCCUGGGCAUCUUCUUGGAGAACGUAUCUGCACUUGACUGUGUGGUGCGGUAUCCAGGACUUUUACUUUGAGGAAAUUAGAGUGUUUCAAGCAGGCACACGCCUUGAAUACAUUAGCAUGGAAUAAUAAGAUAGGACUUUGGUUCUAUUUUGUUGGUUCUUGAACCGAAGUAAUGAUUAAGAGGGACAGUUGGGGGCAUUCGUAUUUCGUUGUCAGAGGUGAAAUUCUUGGAUUUACGAAAGACGAACAACUGCGAAAGCAUUUGCCAAGAAUGUUUUCAUUAAUCAAGAACGAAAGUUAGAGGCUCGAAGACGAUCAGAU
rnacentral:rRNA from 1 species